CCUGGACGGGUCCAGGUGCAGGUAAUCACUCUGGUCCCAUUUCUUCCUUACACAUCGCCCGUUGUUAUUACACAGGGCGGUACUACACAGCUUUGCCGCCGUAGUGACGUUCAAGAGCACACAACGCCAGCGGCUCCUAAAGCAGCAGCCUCCCCGAUAGUACGCACCAGGUCCGGCUGGAACAUCAGCGAACAUGCACAGUGAGGGACAGCAGGGAGGAAGCAAGUAAUACCGCCAGCCAAAUGUUUUUGUCCGUUGCCCCAGCUGGUUUUGGAAAGAGCUCAGUUGGAACAUUCCACAUGAAAGCAAAAGGAAAAUCUGGCUUCAGAGGUGGAGCAGUCUUCGGCAGUGAUCCACAAAGGUUGAUCAGAACCAGGAAAACGAGGCAUUGCCUUAAAUUUAGCCCAUUAAUACACAACAUUCUCACAUGUAGUUUGUAGUAGCCCUUCCCCUUGAGCAGAGUAAAAUGAAGAACUGUCAUAAAAUGAAACAGAAUUGAAUAAAUAAUUAUGAUAUCAUGCAGAAAAAAGCCUGACAAUCUGCUGUAUAGUUAUUGUUGAUCAUAAAGUCAGUCAGAACUAUCCAAUUAAAUUAUCAGAAAUUGAUUAAACUUCUUCAUUCAGCUAAAUAUGAGCAAUGAUACCUCUUUGUAAGGUUAAAUUGAAUUACAGUUACAAUUGCUGCAGUCUGUUUUUGUUUGUCUUAGAGGUGUUUUUAUACAAAUGUGCAUAGAUCUUUUCAAAAAUACGCUGUGACAUCAUAUUCUUGAACAGCUCUGUUAUAUUGUUCUAUAUGUCUGUGAAAUUCCAACAAAUACAAAUCUUAAACUAAAAUCUUAAAAUCAA